rnacentral:rRNA from 1 species
AACUGCGAGUGAAGCGGGAAAAGCUCAAAUUUAAAAUCUGGCGGUCUUUGGCUGUCCGAGUUGUAAUUUAGAGAAGCGUCUUCCGCGCCGGUCCGUGCACAAGUCUCCUGGAAUGGAGCGUCAUAGAGGGUGAGAAUCCCGUCUUUGGCACGGAUGCCUGGUGCUUCUGUGAUGCGCUCUCGAAGAGUCGAGUUGUUUGGGAAUGCAGCUCAAAAUGGGUGGUGAACUCCAUCUAAAGCUAAAUAUUGGCGAGAGACCGAUAGCGAACAAGUACCGUGAGGGAAAGAUGAAAAGCACUUUGGAAAGAGAGUGAAACAGUACGUGAAAUUGUUGAAAGGGAAACGCUUGAAGUCAGUCGCGUCGACCGAGACUCAGCCUUGCCUUGGCUUGGUGUACUUCUCGGCACGACGGGUCAGCAUCAAUUUUGCCCCUCGGAUAAUGGCAAGGGAAAGGUGGCACCUUCACGGGUGUGUUAUAGUCUCCUGUCGCAUGCGAGGGGUGGGAUUGAGGAACUCAGCGCGCACCUUGGUGUCGGGGCUUCG